rnacentral:tRNA from 1 species
CAGUGGCUCAGUGGCACAGCAUCUGCUUGGCUUGCAGAAGGUCCCUGGUUCAAUCGCCAUUUCCAGUUAAAAGGA